rnacentral:tRNA from 1 species
CCCUGUGUGGCUCAGUUGGUAGAGCAUGACGCUUGCAACCUCAGCGUUAUGGGUUUGAUUCCCACAGGGG